UGUGUAGUUUUGCAAUAUUCCCCACCUUCUUUCAUCUACCACUAUGCGUCCAAGUCACAACUACUUAAAUGCAGCAAAACUUGCAUUUGAAAUAACCAUAUAAUCUUCCAAACAUCAGUCAGUUUCAGCUGAUCAUCAGAUUGGUGGAGAUUAUUUGGAUGCAGCAAAACUUUCAUUCAUGAGAAGACAGGACCCAAACCAUGAUUCCAUAUGUUCCAAAUUGGGCCUAAAAUAUUUUUAAAUUACAUUUUGUGCAUCUUCACUCGUUAUAAAUGGAGUUGGACUAGUACAGCUUUUGCUAUUUUGAAUUAUCACAAUUUGACUCUUCGACGAAACUGCAACUUUGUUCCCAAAGGCUGCAAGGCUGAGGAACCUGACUUACUCUGCACCAUUGUAUGUGGGUGUCACAAAACAUGUCAUAAAGAAAGGGCAUGACUGUGAAGAAGUCACAGAGACACAGGAGUUCACCAAAGUUUUCAUUGGGAAGGUUCCUAUAAUGCUGCGGUCUAGUUAUUUUACGCUGUACCAGAAUUCAGAAAAAGAUCUAACAGAACUCAGGGAAUGUCCAUAUGACCAAGGGCUCUUCAGGGCAGUAUAUUCGGGCUACUCUUCCUUAUAUUUGGACAGAAAUGCCAAUAAUUAUUGUGUUUCGAGCAUUAGGGUUUGUUGCCGACAAGGAUAUAUUAGAGCAUAUGUGCUAUGACUUUUCUGAUACUCAGAUGAUGAAAUUAAUUCCAUCUAAUGCAAUUCCAUACCAUUUAAUCCUGUGGUCCAUACUCAGUUAUUCUUAAGUAUUCACUGCAUGUUUUGUUGGCCAGAUUGUAGUUCUGAUUGGAAAAGGUCCUAGUGGCCUGGAUAUCUGUAGAGAUAUUUCAAAAUUAGCUAAAGAAGUCCACCUAACAUCAAGAUCCAUAGAUGUUGAAGUUGCGAAGUUGG